AGGAACGGGCUCCAGAGAAAACCGAAGAAGAAGACAAUAAUGUUUCCAUCUGUCAAGAAGACUCUAAAAUAAAACUAAAGUUUGUGACUAAAGUCGGUGUCAACAGAGGGAGAUUUACCGGCCGUGGCAGGCAGUUGUUUGGGUGAAUGUCUGCUGGAAAUGGCGGGACAAAGUCAGCCCGUUGUUAGUGUUAUCCCUGAUGAUGAGGGGAAAGAAAAGUUCAAGAAAAGUGAAAAUGUUGAAUUUUACAGAUACGUGGACCCGGAGAACAACUAGACAACGUACUUGCCAAGAACUAACGAGACUAAUUCAGUUUAACAGAGA